rnacentral:rRNA from 1 species
CUGGAAUGUUUUUUCUUACAAAGAUUACGCCUAAGGAUGAGUCGGCGCCCGAUUAGGUUGUUGGUGGGGUAAUGGCCCACCAAGCCAAAGAUCGGUAGGGGCCUUGAGAGAGGUAGCCUCGAGGAGGACACUGAGAUAAGGGUCCUGACUCCACGGAGUAUAGCAAGUGCGAAACCUUUACAAUGCACGAAAGUGUGAUAAGGGAAUUCUGAGUGCCUAUGUUUUGCAUAGGCUUUUGCCAAGUGUAAAAAGCUUGGAGAAUAAGUGGUGGGCAAGACUGGUGCCAGCAGCCGCGGUAACACCAGCGCCACAAGUAGGGACCACAUUUAUUGGGCCUAAAGCGUUCGUAGCCGGUCAGCUAAAUCUUUUGCGAAAUUGUUGGGCUUAACCUAACAGCUUGCAGAAGACACUAGCAGACUAGAGACCAGGAGGAGUUAGAGGUAUUCGGGGGGUAGCGGUAAAAUGCAAUAAUCCUCUGAGGACCACCAGUGGCGAAGGCGUCUAACUAGAAUGGGUCUGACGGUGAGGAACGAAAGCCAGGGGAGCGAACCGGAUUAGAUACCCGAGUAGUCCUGGCCGUAAACGCUGCGAGUUAGGUGUUGCAUAUUCCACGAAAUAUGCAGUGUCGUAGUGAAGAUGAUAAGCUCGCCGCCUGGGUAGUACGGUCGCAAGACUGAAACUUAAAGGAAUUGGCGGGGGAGCACAACAAGGGGUGCGGCGUGCGGUUUAAUCCAACUCAACGCGGAGAAUCUCACCAGAGGCGACGGCAGGAUGAAAGUCAGGUUGAAGACCUUACUUAACAAGCCGAGAGGUGGUGCAUGGCCGUCGUCAGCUCGUGCUGUGAAGUGUCCUGUUAAGUCAGGCAACGAGCGAGACCUGCACUUACAAUUGCCAUCAGCUCUUUUCAGAGGACUGGGCACAAUGUAAGGACUGCCUUGGUAACAAGGAGGAAGGUGCAGGCAACGGUAGGUCUGUAUGCCCCGAAUCCUCUGGGCUACACGCGCGCAACAAUGGUAGGGACAAUGGGACACAACUCCGAAAGGAGAAGUUAAACCUCUAAACCCUAUCUCAGUCCAGAUUGAGGGUUGUAACUCACCCUCAUGACGUUGGAAUCCCUAGUAACCAGACUUUAGCAUAGUCCGGUGAAUAUGUCCCUGCUCCUUGCACACACCGCCCGUCAAGCCAACCGAGCAGGGUUUAGGUAAAAUUCAGUUUUUUAACUAAAUUGAAUCUAAUCUCAGUGAGGUGGGCUAAGUCGUCACAAGGUA